rnacentral:rRNA from 1 species
GUAGGGAAUUUUGGACAAUGGGCGCAAGCCUGAUCCAGCAAUGCCGCGUGCAGGAAGAAGGCCUUCGGGUUGUAAACUGCUUUUGUACGGAACGAAACGGUCCUGGUUAAUACCUGGGGCUAAUGACGGUACCGUAAGAAUAAGCACCGGCUAACUACGUGCCAGCAGCCGCGGUAAUACGUAGGGUGCGAGCGUUAAUCGGAAUUACUGGGCGUAAAGCGUGCGCAGGCGGUGCUGUAAGACAGGCGUGAAAUCCCCGGGCUCAACCUGGGAAUUGCGCUUGUGACUGCAGUGCUGGAGUACGGCAGAGGGGGAUGGAAUUCCGCGUGUAGCAGUGAAAUGCGUAGAUAUGCGGAGGAACACCGAUGGCGAAGGCAGUCCCCUGGGCCUGUACUGACGCUCAUGCACGAAAGCGUGGGGAGCAAACAGGAUUAGAAACCCCAGUAGUCC